rnacentral:rRNA from 1 species
UACGGAGGGUGCAAGCGUUAUCCGGAUUUACUGGGUUUAAAGGGUGCGUAGGUGGGUUGGUAAGUCAGUGGUGAAAUCUUCGAGCUUAACUCGGAAACUGCCAUUGAUACUAUUAAUCUUGAAUUAUCUGGAGGUAAGCGGAAUAUGUCAUGUAGCGGUGAAAUGCUUAGAUAUGACAUAGAACACCCAUUGCGAAGGCAGCUUACUACGGAUACAUUGACACUGAGGCACGAAAGCGUGGGGAGCAAACAGG